AGAAGCUCCACCCCUCGGCAGCUGCAGUCAGGCCCUAUCUGGGCCUUUCCAGAAGCAACUCAGGAGCCCCAAGACCUGCAGGGGUAUGUGCACCCUGACCCCUGAUGCAUAGCCCUGCACCUGCAACCAGCUGGCCUCGGGCUGCAAACAAGGCGGGGACUUACUGUCUUGUCAUCCCCUGGACCCAAGAUGAGGGUGCUAGGACGCCCUCCCACACCACCCCAGCUUACCCAGGGGCACACCUCAGGAAAUUUCCCCUAAAGACCUGAGGAAUCACCGAAUGAAAGGGGCUUUUUACAAACUGGAAACUUAAGUGGAGUGCCAAUACACAACAUGGAUUGCACCAGGCUAGGUCUAAGAUAAAACCAGACUGUGGACAACAGGACAGAUAAGACACACAUGGCUCUGCACUGCCUGGGUCUGUUAUUGUGUGGAGGAAUGUCUUAGUCUGUUGCUCCUGUGGGUGUCGCUAAAGCACGAACCAGGGGUCUUCAUCCUUAGAAAGCAGUUAGACACCUGAGAACCAAUCCCAAACUGCAGCCUUCCACAGAACCUUCUGGAACCUUCUGGAAUGCAACUCAUUACUGCCAGAGGCUCUUUGAUGAGAGUCUACUCUCCACCAUUUGUCUUCAAAGAGAAUACCCACAUAUUAUCUUUCUGUGGAAAGGCUUGGAAAUCUAGUGUAUAUUUUACACUAAGAGCAUAUCUCAAUU
ensembl:lncRNA LINC02014 long intergenic non-protein coding RNA 2014